rnacentral:rRNA from 1 species
GCAGUGGGGAAUAUUGGACAAUGGGCGCAAGCCUGAUCCAGCAAUGCCGCGUGAGUGAAGAAGGCCCUAGGGUUGUAAAACUCUUUCAGUAGUGAUGAUGAUGACAGUAACUACAGAAGAAGCACCGGCUAACUUCGUGCCAGCAGCCGCGGUAAUACGAAGGGUGCCAGCGUUGUUCGGAAUUACUGGGCGUAAAGAGCAUGUAGGCGGAUGGAUUAGUCAGAGGUGAAAGCCCCGAGCUCAACUUGGGAACUGCCUUUGAUACUGUUCAUCUUGAGUCCGAGAGAGGUUAGUGGAAUUCCCAGUGUAGAGGUGAAAUUCGUAGAUAUUGGGAAGAACACCAGUGGCGAAGGCGGCUAACUGGCUCGGUACUGACGCUGAGAUGCGAAAGCGUGGGGAGCAAACAGGAUUAGAUACCCUGGUAGUCCACGCCGUAAACGAUGAAGUGCUAGCUGUUGGAACCCUCAGGUUUCAGUGGCGCAAGCUAACGCCAUUAACCACUCCGGCCCUGGAGGGCUACUCCGGA